rnacentral:rRNA from 1 species
UGGGGAAUUUUGGACAAUGGGCGAAAGCCUGAUCCAGCAAUGCCGCGUGCAGGAUGAAGGCCCUCGGGUUGUAAACUGCUUUUGUACGGAACGAAAAGCCUGGGGCUAAUAUCCCCGGGUCAUGACGGUACCGUAAGAAUAAGCACCGGCUAACUACGUGCCAGCAGCCGCGGUAAUACGUAGGGUGCAAGCGUUAAUCGGAAUUACUGGGCGUAAAGCGUGCGCAGGCGGUUUUGUAAGACAGUGGUGAAAUCCCCGUGCUCAACCUGGGAACUGCCAUUGUGACUGCAAAGCUAGAGUGCGGCAGGGGGGGAUGGAAUUCCGCGUGUAGCAGUGAAAUGCGUAGAUAUGCGGAGGAAAACCGAUGGCGAAGGCAAUCCCCUGGGCCUGCACUGACGCUCAUGCACGAAAGCGUGGGGAGCAAACAGG